UACGUAGGUCCCGAGCGUUGUCCGGAUUUAUUGGGCGUAAAGCGAGCGCAGGUGGUUUAUUAAGUCUGGUGUAAAAGGCAGUGGCUCAACCAUUGUGUGCAUUGGAAACUGUUAGACUUGAGUGCAGUAGAGGAGAGUGGAAUUCCAUGUGUAGCGGUGAAAUGCGUAGAUAUAUGGAGGAACACCGGUGGCGAAAGCGGCUCUCUGGACUGUAACUGACACUGAGGCUCGAAAGCGUGGGUAGCAAACAGG
rnacentral:rRNA from 1 species